CGGCAUGAGCUCAAAUUUGAAAUCUGGCCUCUUUGGGGUCCGAGUUGUAAUUUGCAGAGGAUGCUUCGGGAGCGGUCCCCAUCUAAGUGCCCUGGAACGGGCCGUCAUAGAGGGUGAGAAUCCCGUACGUGCCCGGUGGCCGCCCCCGUGUGAAGCUCCUUCGAC
rnacentral:rRNA from 1 species